AUUUUUUGCAUUAUACUUUCAAUAUUGUUUGGUUCAUGUUCAUACAGUUGUUGUUAUUGGUAACAGCUAUUUUGGUCCAGAUGACUGGUUAUCACCUAUCCAUUCAGCCCUACACCAGGUAUAGGACUUCAGCAUAUGUGUAUGAAUGGAAACUGUUCUUUAAUAUUAAGAAAAUUCUGUGAAUUUUUUACCAAGACAGCUUUGCUAUCUUAUUAAAUUCUAUCUACAUGUUUUAGUAUAUUUUACCAACCAGUGUCAUACAUUCUUUUUUGUUUAUAAUAAAAAAAAUUAAAAUGUGUAUGACAAAUAUUUUUUAUAGAACUUUUUUAUUCUGUUCCUUUUAUUGAAUUGUUGUAAACUUCCAUCAGUGAAAUAAUAGAGUGCUUAUUAUGUACCUUCUGACUGUUUGUCCCAGAUAUAUACAUGUAGCAUGUCUUUGACACAGGGAACAACUGCCUUCCAUAUCAAAAUAUGACACAUAUGUAACACACAUACUGCUCUUUUGGUCUUUGGUUGUCAUUUUCAACAAACUUUGAGUCCAGUUGGUGACUUAUUUUACAUACACAUGUAUAUAGAAUCAACCUGAUGUUGGUGGAUUACAUAAAGUCUCGCAGCAACUGAAGUGUAAUGUAUUGUUGGCCCUUUUUAGUACAAAGAGGUUGAUCAGUGUGUUUGGAUGAAGCUUUUUUUUGCCAGAAACUCGAGACUUAUUGGAUUAUUCUGAUGCAAUUUGAUAUUCAAUAUCUGAGUGUUAUGUUUGAGUUUUUUCUUUCGUAAAUAAAACAUAAGAAGAUUG
rnacentral:sRNA from 1 species